CCUACGGGCGGCAGCAGUGGGGGAUAUUGCACAAUGGAGGCAACUCUGAUGCAGCGACGCCGCGUGCGGGAAGACGGUCUUCUGAUUGUAAACCUGUGUCUUUGGGAAGGAAAAUGCCGAUACCCGAAGCGGAAGCUCCGGCUAACUACGUGCCAGAAGCCGCGGUAACACGUGGGGAGCGAGGGUUGUCCGGAAUUACUGGGUGUAAGGGGAGCGUAGGCGGGCGAGAAAGUUGAAUGUUAAAUCUACCGGCUUAACUGGGAGUUGCGUUUAAAAAUUCUUGUCUUGAGUGAAGUAGUGGCAGGCGGAAUUCAUAGUGUAGCGGUGAAAUGCGUAGAGAUCAUGAGGAACACCAGUUGCGAAGGCGGCCUGCUGGGCUAUAACUGACGUUGAGGCACGAAAGCGUGGGGAGCAAACAGGAUUAGAUACCCCUGUAGUC
rnacentral:rRNA from 1 species